UACGAAGGGGGCUAGCGUUGCUCGGAAUUACUGGGCGUAAAGCGCACGUAGGCGGCUUUCUAAGUCGGGGGUGAAAUCCUGGAGCUCAACUCCAGAACUGCCUUUGAUACUGAGAGUCUUGAGUAUGACAGAGGUGAGUGGAACUGCGAGUGUAAGAGGUGAAAUUCGUAGAUAUUCGCAAGAACACCAGUGGCGAAGGCGGCUCACUGGUCAUUACUGACGCUGAGGCACGAAAGCGUGGGGAGCAAACAGG
rnacentral:rRNA from 1 species